GCGCUUUAUUUUGUUGAAUGUUUUGAGGAUUUUUGAUAAAAGGAUUUCAAAAAUCCUCAAAACCUUCAACAAGAUAAAGCAA